rnacentral:misc_RNA from 1 species
UACGGAGGGUGCGAGCGUUGUUCGGAAUUACUGGGCGUAAAGGGCGCGUAGGCAGCCAGAUUAGUCAGAUGUGAAAGCCCACGGCUCAACCGUGGAAGUGCAUUUGAAACUGUCUGGCUUGAGUAUCGGAGGGGAGUGUGGAACUCCCGGUGUAGAGGUGAAAUUCGUAGAGAUCGGGAGGAACACCGGUGGCGAAGGCGACACUCUGGACGAAUACUGACGCUGAGGCGCGAAAGCGUGGGGAGCAAACAGG